CAUGCAGGCGGUCGUGCAAGCCCGGCGUGAAAGGCGGGGCUCAACUCCCGAACUGCGCUGGGAACUGCAAGGCUUGAGUUUCUGAAGGGUAGUCGGAAUUCCACGUGUAGGGGUGAAAUCUGUAGAUAUGUGGAAGAACACCAAUGGCGAAGGCAGGUUACCGGCAGAUAAUUGACGCUGAGGUGCGAAAGUGCGGGGAGCGAACA
rnacentral:rRNA from 1 species